GGGGUAGUCUUGGAAAUCGAUAGGCUAUUACAUAUAUUGACUGCAAUCCGGGUGGUUACGUCACAAACCGCAGAAAAAUAACUGCAAAAAAUACUAAUUCUUACGCUGUAGCUGCCUAAAAAGCACUCGCGUUGCUGGCGUUCGGCUCGCUCUUAGUCGUUCCCCGGUUAAUCUAAUGAGCUUGGGUGUAGUUGUUCUGUUCGGACAAGUGCAUCGACACUAAUCGGACUAGCUAAUAGUUUUAGUAGCGUUGACCUUCUGACUAUUAGUUAAAUCGAAUCGUCGACUAUGAUUGUAGACGUUGAUAUGAAUGGAUAGUUUACACAGGGGUUCGAAUCCCCUCUACUCCAUAA
rnacentral:tmRNA from 1 species